rnacentral:tRNA from 1 species
GGCACGGUGGCCUACUGGUAAGGCCUUGGUCUUGAAAAUUACAGGUUCAAACCCUGUCUGUGCCU